rnacentral:lncRNA from 1 species
UAAUAAUGAACAGAUUUUCAUUCUUGUAAAGAUUCACUUCCCAGCUGGGCACUAUGGCCCACGCCUGUAAUCCCAGCACUUUGGGAGGCCAAGGUGGGCGGAUCAUGAGGUAAGGAGAUCGAGACCAUCCUGGCCAACAUGGUGAAACCCCAUCUCUACUAAAAUACAAAAAACUAGGUGUGGUGGCAUGCACCUGUAAUUCCAGCUACUUGGGAGGCUGAGGCAGGGG